rnacentral:rRNA from 1 species
UGGGGAAUCUUCCGCAAUGGGGCGAAAGCCUGACGGAGCAACGCCGCGUGAGUGAAGAAGGUCUUCGGAUCGUAAAGCUCUGUUGAGAGGGACGAGAGAUUACUUCAGGAAAUGGGAGUAAGAGGACGGUACCUUUCGAGGAAGCCACGGCUAACUACGUGCCAGCAGCCGCGGUAAUACGUAGGUGGCGAGCGUUGUCCGGAAUUAUUGGGCGUAAAGGGAGCGCAGGUGGGAAAGUAAGUCAGUCUUAAAAGUUCGGGGCUCAACCCCGUGAUGGGAUUGAAACUACUUUUCUUGAGUGCAGGAGAGGAAAGCGGAAUUCCUAGUGUAGCGGUGAAAUGCGUAGAUAUUAGGAGGAACACCAGUGGCGAAGGCGGCUUUCUGGACUGUAACUGACACUGAGGCUCGAAAGCGUGGGGAGCGAACAGGAUUAGAUACCCUGGUAGU